AGGACGAACGCUGGCGGCGUGCUUAACACAUGCAAGUCGAGCGGAAAGGCCCUUCGGGGUACUCGAGCGGCGAACGGGUGAGUAACACGUGAGCAACCUGCCCUUAGCUCUGGGAUAGCUCCGGGAAACCGGAAUUAAUACCGGAUAUGACCUAGGCCGACAUCGGCCGUGGUGGAAAGUUUUUCGGCUAGGGAUGGACUCGCGGCCUAUCAGCUAGUUGGUGGGGUAAUGGCCUACCAAGGCGACGACGGGUAGCCGGCCUGAGAGGGCGACCGGCCACACUGGGACUGAGACACGGCCCAGACUCCUACGGGAGGCAGCAGUGGGAAUCUUGCGCAAUGGGCGAAAGCCUGACGCAGCGACGCCGCGUGGGGGAUGAAGGCCUUCGGGUUGUAAACCCUUUCAGCAGGGACGAAGCGAAAGUGACGGUACCUGCAGAAGAAGCGCCGGCUAACUACGCGCUAGCAGCCGC
rnacentral:rRNA from 1 species